CCUACGGGGGGCAGCAGUGGGGAAUAUUGGACAAUGGGGGAAACCCUGAUCCAGCGACGCCGCGUGAGUGAAGAAGUAUUUCGGUACGUAAAGCUCUAUCAGCAGGAAAGAAAAUGACGGUACCUGACUAAGAAGCCCCGGCUAACUACGUGCCAGCAGCCGCGGUAAUACGUAGGGGGCAAGCGUUAUCCGGAUUUACUGGGCGUAAAGGGAGCGUAGGCGGCCUGCCAAGUCUGAUGUGAAAAGCCGGGGCUCAACCCCGGGGCUGCGUGGGAAACUGGCAGGCUGGAGUGCCGGAGAGGCAGGCGGAAUUCCUAGUGUAGCGGUGAAAUGCGUAGAUAUUAGGAGGAACACCAGUGGCGAAGGCGGCCUGCUGGACGGUGACUGACGCUGAGGCUCGAAGGCGUGGGGAGCAAACAGGAUUAGAUACCCCGGUAGUC
rnacentral:rRNA from 1 species